rnacentral:rRNA from 1 species
GAUGAACGCUGGCGGCGUGCCUAAUACAUGCAAGUCGAGCGAACAGACGAGGAGCUUGCUCCUCUGACGUUAGCGGCGGACGGGUGAGUAACACGUGGAUAACCUACCUAUAAGACUGGGAUAACUUCGGGAAACCGGAGCUAAUACCGGAUAAUAUAUUGAACCGCAUGGUUCAAUAGUGAAAGACGGUUUUGCUGUCACUUAUAGAUGGAUCCGCGCCGCAUUAGCUAGUUGGUAAGGUAACGGCUUACCAAGGCAACGAUGCGUAGCCGACCUGAGAGGGUGAUCGGCCACACUGGAACUGAGACACGGUCCAGACUCCUACGGGACGCAGCAGUAGGGAAUCUUCCGCAAUGGGCGAAAGCUUGACGGAGCAACGCCGCGUGAGUGAUGAAGGUCUUCGGAUCGUAAAACUCUGUUAUUAGGGAAGAACAAAUGUGUAAGUAACUAUGCACGUCUUGACGGUACCUAAUCAGAAAGCCACGGCUAACUACGUG